AAAUACCAAAAGCUGUCCUCAUUGAGUCAUCCCUCCCAGAGCAGGAAGAGCAGAGGUUCUGGGAAACAACCCCAAGGAGAGAGACAGGGCAUUUAUAAAACAGCAUGUAAGCAUCUCUGCAGUUGCUGUCCCCAGAGCCCACUUCCUGGAUAUUGCCAGCUGCCUGGACCAACCUUUCCGAAAGAUCAGCCAGGUCACAGUGAGGGUCAAAGCAGGAGGCCACUGGAGGCUCCAAGGGCUCUGAAAUGUUGAGAACUUCCCUGCAGGUACCAGCGAAGAGGGCAAGAACACAGCACUACUUCCUUGGAUACUGUUUCCCUCCUCAGAGGGGUUUUCUGAGCUGCCCUGGGUCCUGUGAGGAAGAAGUCCUAGCAGAGUAUGCCCACGCUGGUUAGUGCUGCUGCAAAGAUGAGCCGAAGACCAUGAGAGACCUCCAGGUGGUCCUUCUGGGGAGAAGAAAUGGGUUUUGGCCCCAAAUCCUUCUGCUGCAUUUUUCCCCUAUCCCUGGGAAGCCAUGAGACCUCAAACCUGUGUUCCCAAGGAGGCGAGCUGCUGUUCCCAGGUGAUGAUAUGAUGUGCUUGGGGAAAGUAAGUGGCUGCCAGACAUGGCUGAGAGCUGUUGUCACUGCCGUCAAGUGCAUGUCUCCAAGCCAUAUCACACGGCGUCCCUCGAUGUGAGGCCACAUGGCAAGUGGGCCGUGGAUCUCCCUCUGCCCUUUGCAAGCACGUAAGACAGCAGAUUUUGCAGAUACCUUGUGGCGCAGGGGAAUUUCCUUUGGCCAGGUCUGAAGAAAUAAAGCAGCAGGCACCGAGAACAAAGCCAAGGCUUUCAAAAGACAAGGAGCCAAAAAACUUACUCAAAAUAAAAGUAGUUUUAAAAUG
rnacentral:lncRNA from 1 species